rnacentral:rRNA from 1 species
AGCCGCCGCGGUAACGACCGGCGGCCCGAGUGGUGAUCGUGAUUAUUGGGUCUAAAGGGUCCGUAGCCGGUUUGGUCAGUCCUCCGGGAAAGUCUGAUAGCUCAACUAUUAGGCUUUCGGGGGAUACUGCCAGACUUGGAACCGGGAGAGGUAAGAGGUACUACAGGGGUAGGAGUGAAAUCUUGUAAUCCCUGUGGGACCACCUGUGGCGAAGGCGUCUUACCAGAACGGGUUCGACGGUGAGGGACGAAAGCUGGGGGCACGAACCGGAUUAGAUACCCGGGUAGUCCCAGCCGUAAACGAUGCUCGCUAGGUGUCAGGCAUGGCGCGACCGUGUCUGGUGCCGCAGGGAAGCCGUGAAGCGAGCCACCUGGGAAGUACGGCCGCAAGGCUGAAACUUAAAGGAAUUGGCGGGGGAGCACAACAACGGGUGGAGCCCUGCGGUUUAAUUGGACUCAACGCCGGACAACUCACCGGGGGCGACAGCAAUAUGUAGGCCAAGCUGAAGACUUUGCCUGAAUCGCUGAGAAGAGGUGCAUGG